AAUGUAGAGCCUGACUAAAGGAUUACCGUGAUAGGGUAAAACAUGUAAAUAAAAUUACCUACAUUA
rnacentral:tRNA from 1 species